GAACUAGUUGUGGGGUCCAUUCCACGGAUUCCGUGACGCAGCUAACGCAUUAAGUUCCCCGCCUGGGGAGUACGGCCGCAAGGCUAAAAGUCAAAGGAAUUGACGGGGACCCGCACAAGCGGCGGAGCAUGCGGAUUAAUUCGAUGCAACGCGAAGAACCUUACCAAGGCUUGACAUAUACGUGACCGGGCCAGAAAUGGUCAACUCUUUGGACACUCGUAAACAGGUGGUGCAUGGUUGUCGUCAGCUCGUGUCGUGAGAUGUUGGGUGAAGUCCCGCAACGAGCGCAACCCUCGUUAUAUGUUGCCAGCACGUAAUGGUGGGAAGUCAUGGGAUACUGCCGGGGUCAACUCGGAGGAAGGUGGGGAUGACGUCAAAUCAUCAUGCCCCUUAUGUCUUGGGCUUCACGCAUGCUACAAUGGCCGGUACAAAGGGCUGCAAUACCGCGAGGUGGAGCGAAUCCCAAAAAGCCGGUCCCAGUUCGGAUUGAGGUCUGCAACUCGACCUCAUGAAGUCGGAGUCGCUAGUAAUCGCAGAUCAGCAACGCUGCGGUGAAUACGUUCCCGGGUCUUGUACACACCGCCCGUCAAGUCAUGAAAGUCGGUAACACCUGAA
rnacentral:rRNA from 1 species